UUUAUGGAGAGUUUGAUCCUGGCUCAGGAUGAACGCUGGCGGCGUGCCUAAUACAUGCAAGUCGAGCGAACGGACGAGAAGCUUGCUUCUCUGAUGUUAGCGGCGGACGGGUGAGUAACACGUGGAUAACCUACCUAUAAGACUGGGAUAACUUCGGGAAACCGGAGCUAAUACCGGAUAAUAUUUUGAACCGCAUGGUUCAAAAGUGAAAGACGGUCUUGCUGUCACUUAUAGAUGGAUCCGCGCUGCAUUAGCUAGUUGGUAAGGUAACGGCUUACCAAGGCAACGAUGCAUAGCCGACCUGAGAGGGUGAUCGGCCACACUGGAACUGAGACACGGUCCAGACUCCUACGGGAGGCGCAGUAGGGAAUCUUCCGCAAUGGGCGAAAGCCUGACGGAGCAACGCCGCGUGAGUGAUGAAGGUCUUCGGAUCGUAAAACUCUGUUAUUAGGGAAGAACAUAUGUGUAAGUAACUGUGCACAUCUUGACGGUACCUAAUCAGAAAGCCACGGCUAACUACGUGCCAGCGUACGCGGUAAUACGUAGGUGGCAAGCGUUAUCCGGAAUUAUUGGGCGUAAAGCGCGCGUAGGCGGUUUUUUAAGUCUGAUGUGAAAGCCCACGGCUCAACCGUGGAGGGUCAUUGGAAACUGGAAAACUUGAGUGCAGAAGAGGAAAGUGGAAUUCCAUGUGUAGCGGUGAAAUGCGCAGAGAUAUGGAGGAACACCAGUGGCGAAGGCGACUUUCUGGUCUGUAACUGACGCUGAUGUGCGAAAGCGUGGGGAUCAAACAGGAUUAGAUACCCUGGUAGUCCACGCCGUAAACGAUGAGUGCUAAGUGUUAGGGGGUUUCCGCCCCUUAGUGCUGCAGCUAACGCAUUAAGCACUCCGCCUGGGGAGUACGACCGCAAGGUUGAAACUCAAAGGAAUUGACGGGGACCCGCACAAGCGGUGGAGCAUGUGGUUUAAUUCGAAGCAACGCGAAGAACCUUACCAAAUCUUGACAUCCUUUGACAACUCUAGAGAUAGAGCUUUCCCCUUCGGGGGACAAAGUGACAGGUGGUGCAUGGUUGUCGUCAGCUCGUGUCGUGAGAUGUUGGGUUAAGUCCCGCAACGAGCGCAACCCUUAAGCUUAGUUGCCAUCAUUAAGUUGGGCACUCUAAGUUGACUGCCGGUGACAAACCGGAGGAAGGUGGGGAUGACGUCAAAUCAUCAUGCCCCUUAUGAUUUGGGCUACACACGUGCUACAAUGGACAAUACAAAGGGCAGCGAAACCGCGAGGUCAAGCAAAUCCCAUAAAGUUGUUCUCAGUUCGGAUUGUAGUCUGCAACUCGACUACAUGAAGCUGGAAUCGCUAGUAAUCGUAGAUCAGCAUGCUACGGUGAAUACGUUCCCGGGUCUUGUACACACCGCCCGUCACACCACGAGAGUUUGUAACACCCGAAGCCGGUGGAGUAACCUUUUAGGAGCUAGCCGUCGAAGGUGGGACAAAUGAUUGGGGUGAAGUCGUAACAAGGUAGCCGUAUCGGAAGGUGCGGCUGGAUCACCUCCUUU
rnacentral:rRNA from 1 species